rnacentral:rRNA from 1 species
UAGGCCUAACACAUGCAAGUCGAACGGCAGCGCGGGUGCUUGCACCUGGUGGCGAGUGGCGAACGGGUGAGUAAUAUAUCGGAACGUGCCCUAGAGUGGGGGAUAACUAGUCGAAAGAUUAGCUAAUACCGCAUACGAUCUACGGAUGAAAGUGGGGGAUCGCAAGACCUCAUGCUCCUGGAGCGGCCGAUAUCUGAUUAGCUAGUUGGUGGGGUAAAAGCCUACCAAGGCGACGAUCAGUAGCUGGUCUGAGAGGACGACCAGCCACACUGGGAGUGAGACACGGCCCAGACUCCUACGGGAGGCAGCAGUGGGGAAUUUUGCACAAUGGGGGCAACCCUGAUCCUGCAAGGCGCGCGUGUGUGAAGAAGGCCUUCGGGUUG